CCAGUCGUGGCCUACUGGUUAGGGCUUCGGGCUUGUAACCGGAGGGUUGCAGGUUCGAUCCCUGACUAGUAGA
rnacentral:tRNA from 1 species